GUCGAAUGGUUAGCGCCCGUCGCCAUAGUUCCAUGGGGUUUUAUCCAGAGAAGAGAUCAUUGAGGCUUCGUGGUGAAGCGAAGCGAAGGCGUUUCACGUUACUUCACUUUUUAGCUAUAAAGCUGGUACGAGUCACGUGGUGAGAGACGCCGAUAGGCCUGGUUCAAGUUGGCGAAGAAGAAUCAUCCCUGCUUAUAAUGAUGAGAUACUUGUUUGCCAAUCUGGUUUCCCUGUACCAGCAUUCUGUCUUAUCUGCUACACUCCCAAGAUGUUUUUGAACUGGUACAAGUCAAGGAAGAAGCUUCCAAGAAAUGGCAAGAUGAUCUGGGUUAUAAGUCAGUUGAUUGUGACCUCAAAAAAAUUGAGAUAUGACAAGGUUAUUGGAGCCCACUCAGAUACACAAAAUGCUGCACUGGCAACAUUUUUGUAAUUACACCCAUUUAUAGAGGUGUCAUGGUUCAGUAUUUACGCAGGAGACUACCAAAGGCUUGUCAAAUCUAUGCCACACCAAGUUGCUGCACUCUGAUGGGCAAAAGGUCCUACACAAUAUUAUGAGGUGUUACAUUACAUUAGCCCACAAAGAAGCUGCCGUGUAAAACGUGCAAGGGUUUGUGUAAGGGUGCUCCCACUGGUGCUUGCCAUCCUGAUAGUCAUUCAUUGUAGCCACACUUGAAGGUUACCACCAUAGAGCAGAUCAAUGAGAAAAUGUUGCAUUGGUCAGGGAAUUAAUGUGAAAGAUGGAAAGGUGAUGAAAAACAGUGCAUAUAUUGAAUGAUUUAAUAGAGACCAUUACACUAUUGUGAGGUGCCUCACAUUAUGGUGAUGUCAAUGAUGACUUUAUCAUAAAAUAUUUGUGUAAGAGAUCAGAUAUGAGGGUUAUAACUGUACAAAAGUCACUACUUGUGCACAAGAAGAGGAAGGCUUUGGAAAGAUCAACUUUUAUUCAUUGAGACUUCAUCCAUGUUCGGUCGUGGACAGUUCCUAAUUGCUGAUGACAACUUCAUUUAUGGACUUGCUUAAAAAAGACCAUAUCAAGGAAGAUGCAGCUGUUGCAUAACAUGUUGAUUGAAAUAAAAUGAUUGACAUGAUUUGUUAUUAAUCUGUUACAUUUGUCAAAUAUACCAAUGGUGUAUCACUUAAA